rnacentral:RNase_P_RNA from 8 species
AGAGUUGGUCUAGAGGUUGCGGGGUCAUUUGAUUAAUGAUUCCGAGGAAAGUCCGAACUCCCGAAAGACCAGACUUGCUGGAUAACGUCCAGUGCGCGUGAGCGUGAGGAUAGUGCCACAGAAAAAUACCGCCCCCUUUUUUCAGUGAUCAGUAAACAGUAACGAAAGUAAAUUUACUGAUAACUGAUAAAUGAUUGGGGGUAAGGGUGCAAAGGUGCGGUAAGAGCGCACCAGCAGUAUCGAGAGGUACUGGCUCGGUAAACCCCGGUGGGGAGCAAGGUGGAGGGACAAAGGUUGGUCUUUUUCCUGUCCCGUUUUUAGGAACCGCUUGAGGUAAUUGGUAACAAUUAUCCCAGAUAGAUAACCUCUAUUCCAACAAAGGUAAAAGCAAUUUUACUGCUGUUGGGAAAUACAGAAUUCGGCUUAUGUCUGACUCUCUCC